rnacentral:rRNA from 1 species
UUGAAGAGUUUGAUCAUGGCUCAGAUUGAACGCUGGCGGCAGGCCUAACACAUGCAAGUCGAGCGGUAGCACAGAGAGCUUGCUCUCGGGUGACGAGCGGCGGACGGGUGAGUAAUGUCUGGGAAACUGCCUGAUGGAGGGGGAUAACUACUGGAAACGGUAGCUAAUACCGCAUAAUGUCGCAAGACCAAAGUGGGGGACCUUCGGGCCUCAUGCCAUCAGAUGUGCCCAGAUGGGAUUAGCUAGUAGGUGGGGUAACGGCUCACCUAGGCGACGAUCCCUAGCUGGUCUGAGAGGAUGACCAGCCACACUGGAACUGAGACACGGUCCAGACUCCUACGGGAGGCAGCAGUGGGGAAUAUUGCACAAUGGGCGCAAGCCUGAUGCAGCCAUGCCGCGUGUGUGAAGAAGGCCUUCGGGUUGUAAAGCACUUUCAGCGGGGAGGAAGGCGAUAAGGUUAAUAACCUUGUCGAUUGACGUUACCCGCAGAAGAAGCACCGGCUAACUCCGUGCCAGCAGCCGCGGUAAUACGGAGGGUGCAAGCGUUAAUCGGAAUUACUGGGCGUAAAGCGCACGCAGGCGGUCUGUCAAGUCGGAUGUGAAAUCCCCGGCUCAACCUGGGAACUGCAUUCGAAACUGGCAGGCUAGAGUCUUGUAGAGGGGUAGAAUUCCGUGUAGCGGUGAAAUGCGUAGAGAUCUGGAGGAAUACCGGUGGCGAAGGCGGCCCCCUGGACAAAGACUGACGCUCAGGUGCGAAAGCGUGGGGAGCAAACAGGAUUAGAUACCCUGGUAGUCCACGCCGUAAACGAUGUCGAUUUGGAGGUUGUGCCCUUGAGGCGUGGCUUCCGGAGCUAACGCGUUAAAUCGACCGCCUGGGGAGUACGGCCGCAAGGUUAAAACUCAAAUGAAUUGACGGGGGCCCGCACAAGCGGUGGAGCAUGUGGUUUAAUUCGAUGCAACGCGAAGAACCUUACCUGGUCUUGACAUCCACAGAACUUUCCAGAGAUGGAUUGGUGCCUUCGGGAACUGUGAGACAGGUGCUGCAUGGCUGUCGUCAGCUCGUGUUGUGAAAUGUUGGGUUAAGUCCCGCAACGAGCGCAACCCUUAUCCUUUGUUGCCAGCGGUUAGGCCGGGAACUCAAAGGAGACUGCCAGUGAUAAACUGGAGGAAGGUGGGGAUGACGUCAAGUCAUCAUGGCCCUUACGACCAGGGCUACACACGUGCUACAAUGGCAUAUACAAAGAGAAGCGACCUCGCGAGAGCAAGCGGACCUCAUAAAGUAUGUCGUAGUCCGGAUUGGAGUCUGCAACUCGACUCCAUGAAGUCGGAAUCGCUAGUAAUCGUAGAUCAGAAUGCUACGGUGAAUACGUUCCCGGGCCUUGUACACACCGCCCGUCACACCAUGGGAGUGGGUUGCAAAAGAAGUAGGUAGCUUAACCUUCGGGAGGGCGCUUACCACUUUGUGAUUCAUGACUGGGGUGAAGUCGUAACAAGGUAACCGUAGGGGAACCUGCGGUUGGAUCACCUCCUU